rnacentral:rRNA from 1 species
GAUGAACGCUGGCGGCGUGCCUAAUACAUGCAAGUCGAGCGAACAGAUGAGGAGCUUGCUCCUCUGACGUUAGCGGCGGACGUGUGAGUAACACGUGGAUAACCUACCUAUAAGACUGGGAUAACUUCGGGAAACCGGAGCUAAUACCGGAUAAUAUAUUGAACCGCAUGGUUCAAUAGUGAAAGACGGUUUUGCUGUCACUUAUAGAUGGAUCCGCGCCGCAUUAGCUAGUUGGUAAGGUAACGGCUUACCAAGGCAACGAUGCGUAGCCGACCUGAGAGGGGGAUCGGCCACACUGGAACUGAGACACGGUACAGAGACCUACGGGAGGCAGCAGUAGGGAAUAUUCCGCAAUGGGCGAAAGCAUGACGGAGCAACGCCGCGUGAGUGAUGAAGGUCUUCGGAUCGUAAAACUCUGUUAUUAGGGAAGAACAAAUGUGUAAGUAAAUAUGCACGUAUUGACGGUAACUAAUCAGAAAGCAACGGCUAACUACGUG